rnacentral:rRNA from 1 species
AGAGUUUGAUCCUGGCUCAGAACGAACGUUGGCGGCGUGGAUUAGGCAUGCAAGUCGAACGAAUCUCAACCUUGUAGCAAUACCGGGUUGGGGGAAGUGGCGAAAGGGGCAGUAAGGCGUGGGUAACCUACCCUGGGGACCGGGAUAGCCUUCCUAACGGAUGGGUAAUACCGGGCGAUUUGCCGAGGGGGCAUCUCCUUGGCAGGAAAUGAGUUUCGCCUCGGGAGGGGCUCACGUGAUAUUAGCUUGUUGGCGGGGUAACGGCCCACCAAGGCCAAGAUGUCUAGCGGGUGUGAGAGCACGACCCGCGCCACUGGCACUGAGACACUGGCCAGACACCUACGGGUGGCUGCAGUCGAGGAUCUUCGGCAAUGGGCGCAAGCCUGACCGAGCGACGCCGCGUGUGCGAUGAAGGCCUUCGGGUUGUAAAGCACUGUCGAGGGGGAGGAAGCCGUAAGGUUGACCUAUCCCUGGAGGAAGCACGGGCUAAGUUCGUGCCAGCAGCCGCGGUAAGACGAACCGUGCGAACGUUGUUCGGAAUCACUGGGCUUAAAGGGCGCGUAGGCGGGUCCGCAAGUCCGGGGUGAAAGCCCCCAGCUCAACUGGGGAAGUGCCUCGGAAACUGUGGGUCUCGAAGGAGGUAGGGGCAAUGUGGAAACUUCGGGUGGAGCGGUGAAAAUGCGUUGAUAUCCGAAAGGAACGCCGGUGGCGAAAAGCGACGUGCUGGAUCUCUUCUGACGCUGAGGCGCGGAAAGCCAGGGGAGCGGAACGGGAUUAGAUACCCCCGUAGUCC